GUUUGGAGGUAUUAUGGUAAAACUUAAAUUUGAAGAAGUUAAUAAAUAAAUUUUGGGUCAAAUUUUAAUUCAUUUUUAACCCCUCUUCUUGCACAAAAAGAUGUUUAGUCCGUGAAAAUUAAAGGUGGAACUAGGAUUAGAUACCCUAUUACUAUUAGUAGUAAAUUUAAUAAUGCCUGGGGAUUACGAAUGCUUUCGUUUAAAACUUAAAGAGCUUGGCGGUUCUGCAUAGCACCAGGGGGGCCUGUCACGUAAUCGAUAAUCCGCGUAAAUUUUCACCUGCCUUAGUAAAUCAGCUUGUAUACCACCGUCUAGUUAACCUUUAAGAGAGAAAGAGUUAGCGAAAUAGUUUUAAAUAAGCUAAAAACUCAGGUCAAGGUGUAGCUUAUAGGUAGGGAGUAGAUUUGCCACGUUUAAUAUUGUUGAUUGAAAAGAGCCAGUAAACUGGCUCUGGAAAUAGUACUUGGAAGUAAUAAAUUGUUUAGAAAGCAUUUGUGAAAAUUUUCUGCAGAGUGUACAAAUCGCCCGUCAAUCCUCCCGGUUAGGGAGGAUAA
rnacentral:rRNA from 1 species